rnacentral:rRNA from 1 species
UACGGGGGGGGCAAGCGUUGUUCGGAAUUACUGGGCGUAAAGGGCUCGUAGGCGGCCAACUAAGUCGGACGUGAAAUCCCCAGGCUUAACCUGGGAACUGCAUCCGAUACUGGAUGGCUUGAAUCCGGGAGAGGGAUGCGGAAUUCCAGGUGUAGCGGUGAAAUGCGUAGAUAUCUGGAGGAACACCGGUGGCGAAGGCGGCAUCCUGGACCGGCAUUGACGCUGAGGAGCGAAAGCCAGGGGAGCAAACGGG